rnacentral:rRNA from 1 species
CUCGGAUCAGGUAGGAAUACCCGCUGAACUUAAGCAUAUCAAUAAG